CUGUGAGCUCGAUGAGUAGGGCGGGACACGUGGUAUCCUGUCUGAAUAUGGGGGGACCAUCCUCCAAGGCUAAAUACUCCUGACUGACCGAUAGUGAACCAGUACCGUGAGGGAAAGGCGAAAAGAACCCCGGCGAGGGGAGUGAAAAAGAACCUGAAACCGUGUACGUACAAGCAGUGGGAGCACAGAGCAAUCUGUGUGACUGCGUACCUUUUGUAUAAUGGGUCAGCGACUUAUAUUCUGUAGCAAGGUUAACCGAAUAGGGGAGCCGAAGGGAAACCGAGUCUUAACUGGGCGUUAAGUUGCAGGGUAUAGACCCGAAACCCGGUGAUCUAGCCAUGGGCAGGUUGAAGGUUGGGUAACACUAACUGGAGGACCGAACCGACUAAUGUUGAAAAAUUAGCGGAUGACUUGUGGCUGGGGGUGAAAGGCCAAUCAAACCGGGAGAUAGCUGGUUCUCCCCGAAAGCUAUUUAGGUAGCGCCUCGUGAAUUCAUCUCCGGGGGUAGAGCACUGUUUCGGCAAGGGGGUCAUCCCGACUUACCAACCCGAUGCAAACUGCGAAUACCGGAGAAUGUUAUCACGGGAGACACACGGCGGGUGCUAACGUCCGUCGUGAAGAGGGAAACAACCCAGACCGCCAGCUAAGGUCCCAAAGUCAUGGUUAAGUGGGAAACGAUGUGGGAAGGCCCAGACAGCCAGGAUGUUGGCUUAGAAGCAGCCAUCAUUUAAAGAAAGCGUAAUAGCUCACUGGUCGAGUCGGCCUGCGCGGAAGAUGUAACGGGGCUAAACCAUGCACCGAAGCUGCGGCAGCGACGCUUAUGCGUUGUUGGGUAGGGGAGCGUUCUGUAAGCCUGUGAAGGUGUGCUGUGAGGCAUGCUGGAGGUAUCAGAAGUGCGAAUGCUGACAUAAGUAACGAUAAAGCGGGUGAAAAGCCCGCUCGCCGGAAGACCAAGGGUUCCUGUCCAACGUUAAUCGGGGCAGGGUGAGUCGACCCCUAAGGCGAGGCCGAAAGGCGUAGUCGAUGGGAAACAGGUUAAUAUUCCUGUACUUGGUGUUACUGCGAAGGGGGGACGGAGAAGGCUAUGUUGGCCGGGCGACGGUUGUCCCGGUUUAAGCGUGUAGGCUGGUUUUCCAGGCAAAUCCGGAAAAUCAAGGCUGAGGCGUGAUGACGAGGCACUACGGUGCUGAAGCAACAAAUGCCCUGCUUCCAGGAAAAGCCUCUAAGCAUCAGGUAACAUCAAAUCGUACCCCAAACCGACACAGGUGGUCAGGUAGAGAAUACCAAGGCGCUUGAGAGAACUCGGGUGAAGGAACUAGGCAAAAUGGUGCCGUAACUUCGGGAGAAGGCACGCUGAUAUGUAGGUGAAGUCCCUCGCGGAUGGAGCUGAAAUCAGUCGAAGAUACCAGCUGGCUGCAACUGUUUAUUAAAAACACAGCACUGUGCAAACACGAAAGUGGACGUAUACGGUGUGACGCCUGCCCGGUGCCGGAAGGUUAAUUGAUGGGGUUAGCGGUAACGCGAAGCUCUUGAUCGAAGCCCCGGUAAACGGCGGCCGUAACUAUAACGGUCCUAAGGUAGCGAAAUUCCUUGUCGGGUAAGUUCCGACCUGCACGAAUGGCGUAAUGAUGGCCAGGCUGUCUCCACCCGAGACUCAGUGAAAUUGAACUCGCUGUGAAGAUGCAGUGUACCCGCGGCAAGACGGAAAGACCCCGUGAACCUUUACUAUAGCUUGACACUGAACAUUGAGCCUUGAUGUGUAGGAUAGGUGGGAGGCUUAGAAGUGUGGACGCCAGUCUGCAUGGAGCCGGCCUUGAAAUACCACCCUUUAAUGUUUGAUGUUCUAACGUUGGCCCCUGAUCGGGGUUGCGGACAGUGUCUGGUGGGUAGUUUGACUGGGGCGGUCU
rnacentral:rRNA from 1 species